rnacentral:rRNA from 1 species
AGUGAACGCUGGCGGCAGGCCUAACACAUGCAAGUCGAGCGGCAGCACGGUAAGAGCUUGCUCUUACGGGUGGCGAGUGGCGGGUGGGUGCGGAGUACAUCGGAAUCUACUUUUUCGUGGGGGAUAACGUGGGGACACUUACGCUACUAGCGCAUACGACGUACGGGUGAGAUCAGGGGAUCUUCGGAUCUUGCGCGAUUGUAUGAGCCGAUGUCGGAUUAGCUAGUUGGAGGGGUAAAGGCCCACCAAGGCGACGAUCCGUAGCUGGCCUGAGAGGAUGAUCAGCCACACUGGAACUGAGACACGGUCCAGACUCCUACGGGAGGCAGCAGUGGGGAAUAUUGGACAAUGGGCGAAAGCCUGAUCCAGCCAUGCCGCGUGUGUGAAGAAGGCCUUCGGGUUGUAAAGCCCUUUUGUUGGGAAAGAAAAGCAGCAGGUUAAUACCUCGCUGUUCUGACGGUACCCAAAGAAUAAGCACCGGCUAACUUCGUG